GUGUUUUAAUGUGAGACUCAGACCUGCUCUCCUCCUCCCUCUCUCCCCCUCCUCUCUCCCUCUCUCAGGCAUUUGUUGGGUCGGUGGUGAAGACGCUCCUCGUCUCCGGAGCUCCGAAGCCACGGAUGAACGUCAGCAGGCGCUGAGAGCAUCCUCUACAAUCUGAGGACGGAGCUCUGAAGACAUAUAAGAGGAAGGAUAUCUUGGUACGGACUGAGAGGGAGACCGUGGCGAUGGCUGAAGCUCCUCAGGAUGAGCAGCUGCAGGAGCAGGAGGAGGAAGAGGAGCAGCUGCCCUGCUCUGUGGAGACCACUGAACCCAAUGAAGAGUCAGAGGAACCAGAUGAGGUCGUGAAGCCAGCUCGGCCUCUGCUUUCCAUGAGGUCCAUGAGCAACGUGGAUCCAGAUGACGACUACCCCAACAUGCUUGUUUACAGGAAGAUUGAGGACAUCGUCACUCGUAUUCAGGAUGAGACGGAGGGCGUGCCCAUCAGAACGGUCAAAAGUUUCAUGACCAAAAUCCACAGUGUUGUUACAGGUGCAGAUAUUGUUCAGUGGCUGAUGAAGAAUCUGUCCAUUGAGGAUCCAGCCGAGGCCAUGCACAUCGGGAGUCUGAUUGCAGCUCAGGGAUACAUCUUUCCCAUCUCGGAUCACAUCCUGUCCCUCAAAGACGACGGGACUUUAUACCGCUUUCAGGCUCCUUAUUUUUGGUCUUCCAACUGCUGGGAGCCUGAGAACACAGAUUAUGCGAUCUACCUGUGCAAGCGGACCAUGCAGAACAAGACCAGGCUGGAGCUGGCGGAUUAUGAGGCGGAGAACUUGGCGAGGCUUCAAAGAGCUUUUGCGAGGAAGUGGGAGUUUAUCUACAUGCAGGCCGAGGCCCAGGUCAAGAUCGACAGAAAAAAGGAUAAAAUAGAGAGGAAGAUCCUUGACAGUCAGGAGAGAGCCUUCUGGGACGUCCACAGACCCGUGCCUGGUUGUGUAAACACCACAGAGAUGGACAUCAGGAAAUGUAGGCGAAUGAAGAACCCUCACAGAGUUAAAAAGUCGGUGUACGGUGUGGUGGAAGAUGGAGUCCAGUCGCAGAGUCCCAUACACACCACCUCACACCACUGCAGAAAAGGAACCAAAGAAGAUGUAGAAAAGGAGAUUUUAUUUCUGAGCACGCAGCUGGAUCGUCAUUGUUUGAAGAUGUCCAAAGUGGCUGACAGCCUGAUCAUCUACACUGAGCAGUAUGUGGAGUAUGACCCGUUUUUGACAGCACCAGAACCCUCUAACCCCUGGACCAGUGAUGACCCCACCUUCUGGGACCUGGAGACCAGUAAGGAGCCCAGCCAGCAGAGGGUGAAGAAGUGGGGGUUUUCCCUGGAGGAGGCCUUAAAGGACCCAGCAGGACAAGAACUCUUCCUCAAGUUCCUGGAGUCUGAGUUCAGCUCUGAAAACCUGAGGUUCUGGCUAGCGGUGCAGGACCUGAAGAAGAUGCCCCAACAGGAAAUUGCACGCACAGUAGAGGACAUCUGGGUGGAGUUUCUGGCUGAAGGUGCACCCAGCUCCAUCAACCUGGACUCACACAGCUACGAACGCACCAGCCAGAACCUGAACGACCCUGGACGGUACAGCUAUGAGGAUGCACAGGACCACAUCUACAAGCUGAUGAAAAGUGACAGCUACCCACGCUUCCUGCGCUCCAACGUCUACCAGGACCUGCUCAUGGCGCGGAAGAAACCUGAAACGGAUCAGGGACGACGCACAUCCCUGGAGAAGUUCACCCGCAGUGUAGGAAAGUCGCUGACGGGGAAGCGGCUCACGGGCCUCAUGCAGUCAUCCUGACCAGGUCUGGAUCUUCAGUCGGAGGAAUCAAACCCAAACAAGAUACCUACAAGUUGGUAGCAGUUGCAAACGGACCUAUGAGUGUGUGAGCGUGGCUUUGGGAAGUGGGCAAGGGCACCGGACAAGUUUAGGCUGGUAUCUCAAUCCCAUACCGGGAUUAUGAGGAAGAGGACCGACGGCAUGCAAUGAGUCAGCAGACUGGGACAGUGCUGCUACUCUUCUUUGGAGGUUUCCCCUCAGAAGCCUGCUGUUCCUCUCUAACUACACUCAUGUUUAUAAGGUAGCCGAGGAGCUUUAUUUUCAGUAACCUAAACAUAAUGCUUGAAUAACGUCAAAACGAGACUUAGAUUAUUGCUGUAGCUAGGUGUUUAAUCUCACCACUAGGAGGGAAACGGGGGUUUACAGUAACGACACAAACCAUUACAUUUGUUGCUUCACUAUGUUAGCAUCUGAUCUGGAAGUAAAGGGGGGUUUACAAGCGGCACAUACGGGUUUGGAGAAAUGUGGUACCCUGAACAGUUGGGCAAACUUAGUUUAGGCCAUUUGAGAUUCCCCCUAAAAACGGGAAACUGCUUUUAUUAGGAAUCCAAUAACCGUUCCUCCUUUGAACAUCUUGUACGUUCGUUUCUGUGAGAUCCGUUAUUCCAUUAGGAAGGCGAGUGUUAUCCGAAACUUGUCAGCUUAAAAGGUAAAAACAAAUCUUUACGGCGCUGUUUAGAAAAGAACAGAGCUACAUCUGGAGAGAAGCCGGCGACUGAUGAUUAGUUCUGAUUUAAAUUCGUUACCAACUGAUUUAUGAUCCUAAAACGAUUAAAGGGAUAAUUUGGCCAUUUAGAAAUGUUUUUGUGUAAAAGUUGUAAAUGAUGUUUCUCCAAACUGAGGCCAUUCAGUUUCACCAGGAACUGAGACCUUUAUACAGAAACACCUUUAAAAAUGAUUUAAAACUUUCUCAUGCAAGUUUUAUUAAAAACUAAGUUCACAGAGAAACCGCUUUCUACUUGUUAUGUUUGGAAUAUGAUCAGUCACCCAGAGUUUAACAUGCAGGCUAAAUGUGAAAACAGUCUUCUACCCUUACUUCCUAUGUCACGCUGUAAAUCAGCAUUCAUGGACUCAUGCUGGUUUAGCAUCCAGGAAGCAGCAGAGAACGUCUUGGCUAGUAAAAGCUAACCGUUAGCAUUAGUAAUUCCACCACACAGCAGAAUUCCUCCAGACUUGAAUUAUUUGUGGAGAUAAAGCAUCAACGUCGCAGAGCAGUAUCAAUGGUAGUCAUGUUGCCGUCAGCCAAUCAGAGAUAUUUCCACAUAUCAGGAAAUAAGACUCCAAAACCUGCCGUCUUCUACUUCCUGAAACAGGAGCGCCAGAGCUCUACUUCCACCGAGAUACUCGAGGUACUGCUGCAGAUGUUAAACUCAAGUUAACUUUAUUCUUGGAUCCUCAUUUCAACCAAACCUUUGCGCCACUUAAUAAGUGACCAAAAAUCCUCGAACCAAAACAUUCCAGAUGUUCAGAGGCGAGUCUUGUUGCUGUAAACUGGAGGGAAACUAGAGGCUUUAUUCUGUCUUCUAAACAUUCCACUUAAGGCAGCCAUGUUGGAAGUUUUGUGGGCUGCUGUGUUGCCAUCUUUUCACCCUCAUGUAAAGAGGACCAUGAUAUUAAAACAGGAAUGCACAACAGAGCGGAUCUGGACUCUUAUUUCAUCCUGGCACUUUUAAUCCUUCCUGGACUCAAAUCAGCAGCAUGUCGUCUCCAGAAGGUAACUACUGCCCUCUAGUGGACUUAACACACAGGUGCAGGUAAUAUCCAAGUAAAUCUUCACCUUUCAUUGCUUCUGCCCUUCAGAAUAAUUCCAUUAUUACUAAGUUUUCCUCUGCACAAACUGCAUUACAAUAAUGUCUAAUUCCCCUUUCACUGCUUUAUCUUCUCGAGUUGCUCAGGUCUUACUUCUGCAGCCAGUGAGCAUGGGGGUGCACCUUGACUGAGACGAGACACGAGGAGAGUGGUUUUCAUGGUGAAGCCACUUUACCAAGGUAGAAAGUGGUUCAGGUAGAACCAGUGUGACGUCCAACGAAGAAAACACUACAGGAUCUCAUGUUGUAACCAUUACAAAUUUAUUGACCUGUACAAGGUGGUGUUUCAGGUACAGUACUCUAGUGGUGAUCAUGUUUCCAGUCUGGUUAGAUGUGUUUUGAUGUAACUGGGACUACAACAGGAUGGACUCACAGUUCUGUUUGGUUGUUUGUUUACUUUUUAGGCCUGAUGUAGUGUAACGUCUAAGCUCUCUGCAUCCAUUGAACAGGAGUCAUGCACAUGAGUGUCCCGUUAAAACAUCUGUAAGCUCCAGCAGUGGAAACCAGCAUCAAACCUGAAUGGAGACGAAGUCGGCAUGGUUGAUCCUCGCCAUGUACAGGACAAGACCCGACUGCUCCUUCGUCCUCAGCUCAAGCUCCAGAACCACCCUGGGACAAAAAUAAAGGUCCUUAGGGGCCACAUGGGUCAGCUGUGACCUAAACAAAGAACCUGAUGGUGGUUUGACAUGUUGGAGGACAGAAAAGCAGCAAGAACAUUUACUUCUCUCUGACUUUGGUGUCAUCAAAUGCAAAGCUCAUGUGACUGUUCCUGGUCAGUCCAAACUGGUGGGCCUGCUCCAGCACCACCGGGGCCUCAGCCGAAGCACACGAAUCCUGGAGAUUGGACAGAACGGGUCAUUUCCUCCCAUCAACGCGCCGGUUCAAGACCUGCCAGUCACGCUGAUGGGGGACCUGAGCUGCUAGGGGUCAUGUUCAGAUCAGAUUUUAUUUAUAAAGCAUUUUCAAGCAAAGUGCUUUAUAGAAUUAAAAUGACCCCAAAUGACUCCCUUAGCCUCCAGAACAGGAACAGACUGCAGCACACUGCAUCAGUGUGUUCCAAAAUCGUUGGCCUGCCUGUCAGAACUCUUGCUCAGGUUUUCUAUCAACAAGCCCUGAGACAGGCAGCCAAAAUCCUCCACAACCCCUCUCACAUUCUUCACCCUGCAUUUCAAUGGCUCCCCUCUGGGUGACGCCUACACUGCAUUUCCUUUAAGACUGAGAGGAGAAGAGCCACCUUUGUCCCCAAAGCCAUUCUGCUCUUUAACUCCAGCAGAUAACCCCCCCCCCCCCGAUUAACACUCUCCUUGGGCUCUCCAUAUAUUUAACUUUUAUAGAGAUGACACUUUAGUCACUUUAUUCACUUACUCAGUGUUUUUUUUGCAUAUUUUACUGUUUUAUCCAUCUUCUUGCUGCUUUAUUACUUCCUUAUUGCCUAUUUAUUCAAUGUUUGUAUGUCCAACAUCAUGCUGCUCUGCUGUUAUUUUUUUAAAUUGCCCCUCGGGGAUAAAUAAAGUUUUUCUGAUUCUGAAA